rnacentral:rRNA from 1 species
UGAGUACGAGAUGCUACGGCAUCGAAGCAGUCUAUGUCAUACUUCCAAGAAAAGCUUGCACUGUCAGAAACAGAUAAUGCCUGUACCAUAACCGACACAGGUGGGUAGGUAGAGUAUACUAAGGGGCGCGAGAAAACUCUCUCUAAGGAACUCGGCAAAAUGACUCCGUAACUUCGGGAGAAGGAGUGCCUUAUUUUUAAGGUUGCAAUAACAAGAUCCAAGCAACUGUUUACCAAAAACACAGGUCUCCGCUAAGUCGUAAGACGAUGUAUGGGGGCUGACGCCUGCCCAGUGCCAGAAGGUUAAAAGUCGGUUAGCAUUCGCGAAGCUGGUAACUGAAGCCCUGGUGAACGGCGGCCGUAACUAUAACGGUCCUAAGGUAGCGAAAUUCCUUGUCGGGUAAGUUCCGACCCGCACGAAAGGCGUAAUGAUUUGGAUACUGUCUCGGAGAGGGGCUCGGUGAAAUAGACUUGUCUGUGAAGAUGCGGACUACCUGCACCUGGACAGAAAGACCCUAUGAAGCUUUACUGUAACUUGAAAUUGAAAUUGGACUUUAUUUGCGCAGUAUAGGUGGGAGGCGUUGAAAAUAUUCUUGCGGGAAUAUUGGAGCCAUCAGUGAGAUACCACUCUUGUAAUGUUAGAUUUCUAACUUUAUAUCAUUAUCUGGUUAAAGAACAGUUUCAGGCGGGCAGUUUGACUGGGGCGGUCGCCUCCCAAAUGGUAACGGAGGCGCACAAAGGUUUCCUCUGAACGGGUAGAAAUCGUAUCUAGAGUGUAAAGGCAUAAGGAAGCUUGACUGUGAGACCUACAAGUCGAGCAGGGACGAAAGUCGGUCUUAGUGAUCUGACGGUGCUGAGUGGAAAGGCCGUCACUCAACGGAUAAAAGUUACUCUAGGAUAACAGGCUGAUCUCCCCCAAGAGUUCACAUCGACGGGGAGGUUUGGCACCUCGAUGUCGGCUCAUCGCAUCCUGGGGCGGUAGUACGUCCCAAGGGUUGGGCUGUUCGCCCAUGAAAGCGGUACGCGAGCUGGGUUCAGAACGUCGUGAGACAGUUCGGUCCAUAUCCGGUGUAGGCGUUAGAAUAUUGAGAGGAGCCUUCUUUAGUACGAGAGGACCGAGAAGGACAUACCUCUGGUGUACCAGUUAUCGUGCCAACGGUAAACGCUGGGUAGCUAUGUAUGGAGUGGAUAACCGCUGAAAGCAUCUAAGUGGGAAGCCCACCUCAAGAUAAGUAUUCUCA